rnacentral:rRNA from 1 species
AGAGCGAACGCUGGCGGCAGGCUUAACACAUGCAAGUCGAGCGGGCGUAGCAAUACGUCAGCGGCAGACGGGUGAGUAACGCGUGGGAACGUACCUUUUGGUUCGGAACAACACAGGGAAACUUGUGCUAAUACCGGAUAAGCCCUUACGGGGAAAGAUUUAUCGCCGAAAGAUCGGCCCGCGUCUGAUUAGCUAGUUGGUGAGGUAACGGCUCACCAAGGCGACGAUCAGUAGCUGGUCUGAGAGGAUGAUCAGCCACAUUGGGACUGAGACACGGCCCAAACUCCUACGGGAGGCAGCAGUGGGGAAUAUUGGACAAUGGGCGCAAGCCUGAUCCAGCCAUGCCGCGUGAGUGAUGAAGGCCCUAGGGUUGUAAAGCUCUUUUGUGCGGGAAGAUAAUGACGGUACCGCAAGAUAAGCCCGGCUAACUUCGUGCCAGCAGCCGC